CCUACGGGAGGCAGCAGUGAGGAAUAUUGGUCAAUGGACGAGAGUCUGAACCAGCCAAGUCGCGUGAAGGAUGACUGCCCUAUGGGUUGUAAACUUCUUUUAUAUGGGAAUAAAAUGUUCCACGUGUGGGAUUUUGUAUGUACCAUAUGAAUAAGGAUCGGCUAACUCCGUGCCAGCAGCCGCGGUAAUACGGAGGAUCCGAGCGUUAUCCGGAUUUAUUGGGUUUAAAGGGAGCGUAGGUGGAUUGUUAAGUCAGUUGUGAAAGUUUGCGGCUCAACCGUAAAAUUGCAGUUGAAACUGGCAGUCUUGAGUACAGUAGAGGUGGGCGGAAUGCGUGGUGUAGCGGUGAAAUGCUUAGAUAUCACGAAGAACUCCGAUUGCGAAGGCAGUUCACUGGACUGCAACUGACGCUGAGGCUCGAAAGUGUGGGUAUCAAACAGGAUUAGAUACCCGUGUAGUC
rnacentral:rRNA from 1 species